rnacentral:lncRNA from 1 species
CAAUUUUUUUUUUUUUUUUCAACCUGGCCCACGCGACGUACAGACCCGCCACAAAUACAAAGUUCCUCUGUCCACGCGGACAGAGUCUCCUUUGUAUUUGCACGGCGUACCAGCUAUACAACAGGAUCUCAACCACAACCUACAUUUACCAAUCAACAAUCAAUUCAUGACAUGCAUUCCCAUACAGCUAACGAUCCUUAGAAUGAUGCAUGCCUCUAAGCACUCCUUAGGCGCUGGAUGAUGCAAUGCACAAUACAACAAACAUCCUAUUUAAAAGUGCUCCCCACACGGAAGCUUUUGUUUUUAAACUCUAAUUCAUUCAUUCAUAAAAACCAUUCGAAAACCUUUUUAAAACUGUUUCCCACACGGAAACUCUAUUUUGAAAACCGACUACCUCGAGGGGUAGAAAACCACGAUAUGUAAAUACAAAAAAAUCCGAUAUCCAUAAAAUCAAUAUCCAAAUCCACAAACCUUAGUUUACAUGCAUAAAUAACGAAAGCAUCCCCAGAUCUACCAAAACCAGAUCACCAACAUUCAAACAAUCAUAAAGAUCAGCUAACUGAACCAUAUAAACUAUCUAAGCUAUAUCAACAGGACAGUAAGGGUAGAAACUAAACCGAAUAACCUGAGUCGGAAGCUCUAGCGACCACUACGAACGUGUCUCACGUCUCGUCUCAACUCUCACCGCCGGCGAUACCUGAAAAAUAGUGGGGGAGGUGAGAACAUGUAAACAUGUCUCCCCUCCCAGUGGGUACCGCAAGCCGAUGAAGGCGAGGAGUACUCACCGGAUCAGGAAGAGCUAAACAACAGUACGGGUCAGUAGAAAUACAGUAGCAAUAAUAGUGAAUGAAAGAGACAUAUAUACGAAAGAAGUACAACUACCGCUACUGUAAUGGACAACUGAAUGUAUACAUGUAACAAGACUAUGUAAUGAAAGAACUGAAGGUAUACAAGCAACAACCGCUACUAUAGUUAUAUGCAUCAACCGGACAAGAAGUCCAAAUAUACCCAAUCUAGUACCUGCUAUAUUGGUCCGCAGACCUCAAGCGCUGCCUGUCACUAACCUGCACCGACCUGAUUCACCCGCCCCACAGGACGACCCAUCCGGAUAAGUACACCUCCGAUCGGUGGCCAAACCGAUCCGGUGUCGUGAAUACCCCCAAGUGCUGUGACUAAGUCAUGAUGGUAUGCUCAAUACAAAAACCGGCUGAAACCGGUGCCUAGGCCGAAGCCAGAAACAAGGACGUACAACGCCGAACCUCGAUCAACCAGAUCGAAACACAUGACGAGAGAGUCAAUGUGUUACCUGGACCCAAGGUCCACAGAGUCCAACCGACCAGCAAGGUCACUGAUACGAAGUACGAGAACUGACCAACCAGGUCAACAGAUACGGAAUGCACAACCAACCAACUAGGUCAACAGAUACUGAAUGCAACAACAGACCAACUAGGUCAACAGAUACUGAAUGCAACAACAGACCAACUAGGUCAACAGAUACAGAAUGCAACAACAGACCAACUAGGUCAACAGAUACAGAAUGCAACAACAGACCAACUAGGUCAACAGAUACGCAUGUAGAUAGAACUACUCUACUCCUACUCAGGAUACUAAGCAUGCAAACAACGAGUAGAGUAUAACGAAUAAACAAGGGUGCAAGGCUCAAUAUACUAUGCGAUAGUAACAACAGAAGAGUAAGGGUAAGAAACCAUCACCAAGCGUGCACCACUGUACCGACGUCGGAUCGAAGUACCCACCUGUAAGGAUGUCGCGUCUGUCUCCUGACUGCAAAAGAAUGUCGACAGGACCUAUAGAGGGUCCACCGGGUUAGUAUCUAACCCACAACUAAUAAUCACAGUAUCCACAACCCCACAAACGAUUCCACGAAGAUCGGUUUCCCAAUACCGAUUACCGUAACUCGCCGGAAGUCCCGAAAACCACACCGGGACGCCGUCGGGACCCACUAAGUGUCCCGAAACUCACCGACUCGUGUCACGAGUCACCUGCUGCCCCAAAACACUCCAAUUUGGAUGUUUUGGCAGCAAACACAAGAUAACACCCCUACACAAUUAUCGCCGGAUAAUUGUACGAAUCCGGGUUCCCGAAAGUGUCUAUUUCGACACCGGAACCCACCGUCGCUCACCCAUCAUCACCGAACCCACAAAAUGAUGAUGGUGACCAGCCAACAAGGCUUAGCGACAACUAACAAAGCCACUAAACGAGUUCGGAAGAAAUCC